rnacentral:rRNA from 1 species
AGUGAACGCUGGCGGUAGGCCUAACACAUGCAAGUCGAACGGCAGCACAGGAAGAGCUUGCGCUUACGGGUGGCGAGUGGCGGACGGGUGAGGAAUACAUCGGAAUCUACUUUGUCGUGGGGGAUAACGUAGGGAAACUUACGCUAAUACCGCAUACGACCUACGGGGGAAAGCACGCGUUCUUCUGACCUUGCGCGAGUGAAUGAGCCGAUGUCGGAUUCGUUAGUUUGCGGGGCAAAGGCCCACCACGGCUACGAUGCGUAGCUGCUCCGAGAGGGUGAUCCGCCACACUGUCAGUGAGACACGGCCCCCACUCCUGCGCUGGGCCGCAGCGCGGACUCUUGCACAAUGCAGGAGUGCCUGAUCCUGCCCUACCGCGUGAGUGCAGAAGGCCUUCGGCCUCUAGAGCCCUUUUGUUGUGAAAGAAAUGCAGCACGUUAAUCCCGCGCUGUACUGACGGUACCCAAAGAAUAAGCACCGGCUAACUUCGUG